CCCAACAACCGUCUCUAUCCAGUGCUGUGCUUCAGCCUCCUGGCUAGCCUCCCUCUUACCAGCAACCUGCAAGAUUAAAGGGACUAUUUUAAUAGAAUCCCUGAAGUGAUUAACGACCGUUGGUAUCUCUCAAGAUGGAUAGGGUCUAUUUAGAUAUGCCGGUCGAAAAUAAAUCCUGUUCUCAAGCUUGGGUGGUUCCCCUCGCACACGUGGCCGUUAUCGUUUAUUUUGGGAACUGGAGGAACCGGUUCAAUUAACUAACUGGAUUAACAACUUUAAUCAUUAACUGAGCAAGCACUCGCAAGUUGCGAGAAAUCUCUCAUCCUACCCGCCAUCUAGCAGCUGGCUCGCCAACUAGAGGACUAGAUCCUAUCGCCGAUUCAACCCAUUCUACCAGCAUAUCGCUCAGCAACAAACAUCAUAGUUGCAAUAUUUUAUUAAACAAGAUACAUCAUCUUUACAAACAAAUAAUACUCAAUAUUGCACAAUGCACCAUGUGUCAUAAUAUCACAUGAAACAGAUGUAAAUGCAAUUUACUCCAAACAUGAAAUAUAAAUAACGCUGCCAGCGUUAAUUGCAACAGCGUUACAAUUGUUAACAUGAAACUAAGCAACACAAUUGUACGGAACUUUCUGAGGAUUUCCUGAGGACGCACGCGUCAACCGUGGACGGUGUAUUUGCAAUUGAACGCAAGUAAAGAUCGGUUAAGUAUUUGCUGGAAAUGCACUGCAAUAGGAGAACAGGCAGCCAGGAGGUGGCCGUUUAAGUAUGUGCACGCAACGACGCCUCGCAGCCCAGUACUCCAUUUUACUCCGUUCUUUCCUUUGCGAUCGCAAAGGCCACCUGUUGCUUUCGUGCCAGAACCAACGGUUUCAACGAUAUAACACGAGUCUUGAAUUAUUACAGAUCCCUCUAACCGGUUCAGGUGGAGAACCUCCUUUGGAUAAUGUUUGUUCUACCCUUUGCACUUGGAGGAAUUCCUGAUACUGUCAAUGUCUCAGCAACUCCAAGUAAUCUUUACUAAAAGUUAGUAGCUACUCUGGGAGUAUUUAUACGUGAUCUAGUAAAUCCAUCUUCCUCGUAGCUAUCAUUUCUUUGCAUUUUAGGAGGAAUAUGCUUUUCUUUGAUUCAUUAAAAUAUUUAAUAUAACUGGUGCAAUAUUGGAGCACAGAGUUCAAAGGGUUAACUUCUGUAUAAUGCAUCGAUACGUGAAAUACUUAUGUAAAAGCUUUGUUUCUUAAGUCACGUAUUUCUAAAUACGAAAAUGUCGAAUGUUUCUAAUCUAAAGCUUCCGA